UACGAAGGGAGCUAGCGUUGUUCGGAAUUACUGGGCGUAAAGCGCACGUAGGCGGACUUGCCAGUCAGGGGUGAAAUCCCAAGGCUCAACCUUGGAACUGCCUCCGAUACAGCAAGCCUUGAGAUCGGGAGAGGUGAGUGGAAUUCCUAGUGUAGAGGUGAAAUUCGUAGAUAUUAGGAAGAACACCAGUGGCGAAGGCGGCUCACUGGCCCGAUACUGACGCUGAGGUUCGAAAGCUAGGGGAGCGAAAGGG
rnacentral:rRNA from 1 species